rnacentral:rRNA from 1 species
UACGGGGGGAGCAAGCGUUGUUCGGAUUUACUGGGCGUAAAGGGCGCGUAGGCGGCCAGCACAAGUCAGUUGUGAAAUCUCCGAGCUUAACUCGGAAAGGUCAACUGAUACUGUGCGGCUAGAGUGCGGAAGGGGCAACUGGAAUUCUUGGUGUAGCGGUGAAAUGCGUAGAUAUCAAGAGGAACACCUGCGGCGAAGGCGGGUUGCUGGGCCGACACUGACGCUGAUGCGCGAAAGCUAGGGGAGCGAACAGG